UUAAAUUGAAGAGUUUGAUCAUGGCUCAGAUUGAACGCUGGCGGCAGGCCUAACACAUGCAAGUCGAACGGUAACAGGAAGAAGCUUGCUUCUUUGCUGACGAGUGGCGGACGGGUGAGUAAUGUCUGGGAAACUGCCUGAUGGAGGGGGAUAACUACUGGAAACGGUAGCUAAUACCGCAUAACGUCGCAAGACCAAAGAGGGGGACCUUCGGGCCUCUUGCCAUCGGAUGUGCCCAGAUGGGAUUAGCUAGUAGGUGGGGUAACGGCUCACCUAGGCGACGAUCCCUAGCUGGUCUGAGAGGAUGACCAGCCACACUGGAACUGAGACACGGUCCAGACUCCUACGGGAGGCAGCAGUGGGGAAUAUUGCACAAUGGGCGCAAGCCUGAUGCAGCCAUGCCGCGUGUAUGAAGAAGGCCUUCGGGUUGUAAAGUACUUUCAGCGGGGAGGAAGGGAGUAAAGUUAAUACCUUUGCUCAUUGACGUUACCCGCAGAAGAAGCACCGGCUAACUCCGUGCCAGCAGCCGCGGUAAUACGGAGGGUGCAAGCGUUAAUCGGAAUUACUGGGCGUAAAGCGCACGCAGGCGGUUUGUUAAGUCAGAUGUGAAAUCCCCGGGCUCAACCUGGGAACUGCAUCUGAUACUGGCAAGCUUGAGUCUCGUAGAGGGGGGUAGAAUUCCAGGUGUAGCGGUGAAAUGCGUAGAGAUCUGGAGGAAUACCGGUGGCGAAGGCGGCCCCCUGGACGAAGACUGACGCUCAGGUGCGAAAGCGUGGGGAGCAAACAGGAUUAGAUACCCUGGUAGUCCACGCCGUAAACGAUGUCGACUUGGAGGUUGUGCCCUUGAGGCGUGGCUUCCGGAGCUAACGCGUUAAGUCGACCGCCUGGGGAGUACGGCCGCAAGGUUAAAACUCAAAUGAAUUGACGGGGGCCCGCACAAGCGGUGGAGCAUGUGGUUUAAUUCGAUGCAACGCGAAGAACCUUACCUGGUCUUGACAUCCACGGAAGUUUUCAGAGAUGAGAAUGUGCCUUCGGGAACCGUGAGACAGGUGCUGCAUGGCUGUCGUCAGCUCGUGUUGUGAAAUGUUGGGUUAAGUCCCGCAACGAGCGCAACCCUUAUCCUUUGUUGCCAGCGGUCCGGCCGGGAACUCAAAGGAGACUGCCAGUGAUAAACUGGAGGAAGGUGGGGAUGACGUCAAGUCAUCAUGGCCCUUACGACCAGGGCUACACACGUGCUACAAUGGCGCAUACAAAGAGAAGCGACCUCGCGAGAGCAAGCGGACCUCAUAAAGUGCGUCGUAGUCCGGAUUGGAGUCUGCAACUCGACUCCAUGAAGUCGGAAUCGCUAGUAAUCGUGGAUCAGAAUGCCACGGUGAAUACGUUCCCGGGCCUUGUACACACCGCCCGUCACACCAUGGGAGUGGGUUGCAAAAGAAGUAGGUAGCUUAACCUUCGGGAGGGCGCUUACCACUUUGUGAUUCAUGACUGGGGUGAAGUCGUAACAAGGUAACCGUAGGGGAACCUGCGGUUGGAUCACCUCCUUACCUUAAAGAAG
rnacentral:rRNA from 1 species